GAUGAACGCUGGCGGCGUGCCUAAUACAUGCAAGUCGAGCGAACAGAUGAGAAGCUUGCUUCUCUGAUGUUAGCGGCGGACGGGUGAGUAACACGUGGGUAACCUACCUAUAAGACUGGGAUAACUCCGGGAAACCGGGGCUAAUACCGGAUAAUAUUUUGAACCGCAUGGUUCAAUAGUGAAAGACGGUUUCGGCUGUCACUUCUAGAUGGACCCGCGCCGUAUUAGGUAGUUGGUAAGGUAACGGCUUACCAAGGCUGCGAUACGUAGCCGACCUGCGAGGGUGAUCGGCCCACCUGGGCCGGAGGCACGGUCCAUACUCCUACGGGCGUCAGCAGUAGGGAGUCUUCCGCAAUGGGCGAAAGCCUGACGGAGCAAGGCAGCGUGAGUGAUGAAGGUCUUCGGAUCGUAAAACUCUGUUGUUAGGGAAGAACAAAUUUGUUAGUAACUGAACAAGUCUUGACGGUACCUAACCAGAAAGCCACGGCUAACUACGUGCCAGCCGCCGCCGUAA
rnacentral:rRNA from 1 species